AUUGAACGCUGCGGCAGGCUUAACACAUGCAAGUCGAGCGAGCGGCGGACGGGUGAGUAAUGCUUAGGAAUCUGCCUAUUAGUGGGGGACAACAUCUCGAAAGGGAUGCUAAUACCGCAUACGAAUAGCUGAGCCUAAGUCGGAUUAGCUAGUUGGUGGGGUAAAGGCCUACCAAGGCGACGAUCUGUAGCGGGUCUGAGAGGAUGAUCCGCCACACGGGGACGGAAGCACUGCCCAGACUCCUACGGAAGGCAGCAGUGGGGAAUAUUGGACAAUUGGGGGAACCCUGAUCCAGCCAUGCCGCGUGUGUGAAUAAGGCCGUAUGGUUGUAAAGCACUUUAGGCGAGGAUGCGUGACUCGCAGAAUAAGCACCGGCUAACUCUGUGCCAGCAGCCGCGGUAAUA
rnacentral:rRNA from 1 species